AUUGAACGCUGGCGGCAUGCCUUACACAUGCAAGUCGAACGGUAACAGGUCUUCGGAUGCUGACGAGUGGCGAACGGGUGCGUAAUACAUCGGAACGUGCCCAGACGUGGGGGAUAACGAGGCGAAAGCUUUGCUAAUACCGCAUACGAUCUAAGGAUGAAAGCAGGGGACCGCAAGGCCUUGUGCGUUUGGAGCGGCCGAUGGCAGAUUAGGUAGUUGGUGGGAUAAAAGCUUACCAAGCCGACGAUCUGUAGCUGGUCUGAGAGGAUGACCAGCCACACUGGGACUGAGACACGGCCCAGACUCCUACGGGAGGCAGCAGUGGGGAAUUUUGGACAAUGGGCGAAAGCCUGAUCCAGCAAUGCCGCGUGCAGGAUGAAGGCCUUCGGGUUGUAAACUGCUUUUGUACGGAACGAAAAGGCUCUGGCUAAUACCUGGGGCACAUGACGGUACCGUAAGAAUAAGCACCGGCUAACUACGUG
rnacentral:rRNA from 1 species